UUUUGCAGCAGUAGGGAAUCUUCCACAAUGGACGAAAGUUUGAUGGAGCAACGCCGCGUGAGUGAUGAAGGUUUUCGGAUCGUAAAACUCUGUUGUUAAAGAAGAACAAGUGUUAGAGUAACUGUUAACACUUUGACGGUAUUUAACCAGAAAGCCACGGCUAACUACGUGCCAGCAGCCGCGGUAAUACGUAGGUGGCAAGCGUUGUCCGGAUUUAUUGGGCGUAAAGCGAGCGCAGGCGGUUUUGUAAGUCUGCUGUGAAAGCCCUCAGCUCAACUGAGGAAGUGCAGUGGAAACUACAAAACUUGAGUACAGAAGAGGAAAGUGGAACUCCAUGUGUAGCGGUGAAAUGCGUAGAUAUAUGGAAGAACACCAGUGGCGAAGGCGGCUUUUUGGUCUGUUACUGACGCUGAGGCUCGAAAGCAUGGGUAGCGAACAGGAUUAGAUACCCUGGUAGUCCAUGCCGUAAACGAUGAAUACUAGGUGUUGGAGGGUUUCCGCCCUUCAGUGCCGCAGCUAACGCAUUAAGUAUUCCGCCUGGGGAGUACGACCGCAAGGUUGAAACUCAAAGGAAUUGACGGGGGCCCGCACAAGUGGUGGAGCAUGUGGUUUAAUUCGAUGCUACGCGAAGAACCUUACCAGCUCUUGACAUCUUCUGCCAACCCAAGAGAUUGGGCGUUCCCUUCGGGGACAGAAUGACAGGUGGUGCCCAUGGUGUUUUCCAGCCUUCGGUUGUAU
rnacentral:rRNA from 2 species